AGUGAACGCUGGCGGUAGGCCUAACACAUGCAAGUCGAACGGCAGCACAGUAAGAGCUUGCUCUUACGGGUGGCGAGUGGCGGACGGGUGAGGAAUACAUCGGAAUCUACUUUUUCGUGGGGGAUAACGUAGGGAAACUUACGCUAAUACCGCAUACGACCUACGGGUGAAAGCAGGGGAUCUUCGGACCUUGCGCGAUUGAAUGAGCCGGUGUCGGAUUAGCUAGUUGGCGGGGUAAAGGCCCACCAAGGCGACGAUCCGUAGCUGGUCUGAGAGGAUGAUCGGCCACACUGGAACUGAGACACGGUCCAGACUCCUACGGGAGGCAGCAGUAGGGAAUAUUGGGCAAUGGGCGCAAGCCUGAUGCAGCAAUACCGCGUGAGUGAAGAAGGCCUUCGGGUUGUAAAGCCCUUUUGUUGGGAAAGAAAAGCAGCGGAUUAAUACCCCGCUGUUCUGACGGUACCCAAAGAGUAAGCACCGGCUAACUUCGUG
rnacentral:rRNA from 1 species